CUCUCUUUGGCUCAGCUUGGUAGAGCGUCGCAUUUGGGAUGCGAAGGUCGUAGGUUCAAAUCCUACAAGGGAGA
rnacentral:tRNA from 1 species